rnacentral:rRNA from 1 species
GACGAACGCUUGCGACGUGCCUAAGAAAUGCAAGUCGAACGGGGGAGCAAUCCCUAGUGGCGAACGGUCGCGUAACACGUGGGCAACCUGCCCUGAAGCGGGGGACGAACAAGUCGAAAGAUUUGCUAAUACCGCAUGUGUCUCGCUGUGGCAUCACAGAGGAGACAAAGCCGCAAGGCACUUCAGGAUGGGCCCGCCGGCCUAUCAGCUUGUUGGUGAGGUAACGGCCCACCAAGGCUUCGACGGGUAGCUGGUCUGAGAGGACGAUCAGCCGGAUUGGGACUGAGAUACGGCCCAGACUCCUACGGGGGGCGAGCAAUUAGGAAUCUUGCACAAUGGGCGAAAGCCUGAUGCAGCGACGUCGCGUGAAGGAUG